rnacentral:rRNA from 1 species
GACGAACGCUGGCGGCGUGCUUAACACAUGCAAGUCGAACGGAAAGGCCCUGCUUUUGUGGGCUGCUCGAGUGGCGAACGGGUGAGUAACACGUGAGUAACCUGCCCUUGACUUUGGGAUAACUUCAUGCAACUGGGGCUAAUACCGGCUAGGAGCUCCUGCUGCAGGGUGGGGGUUGGAAAGUUUCGGCGGUUGGUGAUGGACUCGCGGCUCAUCAGCUUGUUGGUUGGGUAGUGGCUUACCAAGGCUUUGACGGGUAGCCGGCCUGAGAGGGUGACCGGCCACGUUGGGACUGAGAUGCGGCCCAGACUACUACGGGAGGCAGCGGUGGGGAAUAUUGUAUUAGGGGCGGAGGCAUGAUGCAGCAACGCCGCGUGCGGGAUGACGGGAUUCGGGUUGGAAUCCGCUUUCGCCUGUGACGAGGCGUGAGUGACGGUAAUGGGUAAAGAAGCACCGGCUAACUACGUG